rnacentral:rRNA from 1 species
UGGGGGAUAUUGCACAAUGGAGGAAACUCUGAUGCAGCAACGCCGCGUGAAGGAAGAAGGCCUUCGGGUUGUAAACUUCUGUCUUUGGUGACGAAACAAUGACGGUAGCCAAGGAGGAAGCCACGGCUAACUACGUGCCAGCAGCCGCGGUAAUACGUAGGUGGCAAGCGUUGUCCGGAAUUACUGGGUGUAAAGGGUGCGUAGGCGGUCUUUAAAGUCAGAUGUGAAAUGCCGCAGCUUAACUGCGGAGCUGCAUUUGAAACUUAAAGACUUGAGUGGAGUAGAGGUAAGCGGAAUUUCUAGUGUAGCGGUGAAAUGCGUAGAUAUUAGAAGGAACACCAGUGGCGAAGGCGGCUUACUGGGCUUUAACUGACGCUGAGGCACGAAAGCAUGGGUAGCAAACA